rnacentral:misc_RNA from 1 species
CGGAGAGCUUCUUCCAUUGCCUUAACAAUGGCGUCUUCAUCGUUGAUUCGGUUCUGUGUGCUUGCUUCUGUUCUAUUUUCUGCUUCUUUCUUUGAGAUCUACGCGGAAGAGGCUGCGGCGAAGGAAUUUGUUAUUACUUUGGACAAUUCCAACUUCUCCGAUGUUGUUUCCAAGCAUAACUUCAUCGUCGUUGAGUUCUACGCCCCGUGGUGUGGGCAUUGUAAGAACCUGGCACCAGAGUAUGAAAAAG